rnacentral:rRNA from 1 species
CCUACGGGUGGCAGCAGUGAGGAAUAUUGGUCAAUGGGCGCGAGCCUGAACCAGCCAAGUAGCGUGAAGGAUGACUGCCCUACGGGUUGUAAACUUCUUUUAUAAAGGAAUAAAGUGAGGCACGUGUGCCUUUCUGUAUGUACUUUAUGAAAAAGGAUCGGCUAACUACGUGCCAGCAGCCGCGGUCAUACGGAGGAUCCGAGCAUUAUCCGGGGUGACUGGGUGUAAAGAGGUGCGUAGGGGGCAUAAUAAGUAGCUAGUGAAAUCUGGUGGCUCAACCAUUCAGACUAUUAGCUAAACUGUUCAGCUUGAGAGCGCGAGGGGUAACUGGAAUGUGUAGUGUAGGAGUGAAAUGCGUAGAUAUUAGACAGAACUCCAAUAGCGUAGGCAGGUUGCUGGGACGGUUCUGACACUAAGGCACGAAAGCGUAGGGAGCGAACGGGAUUAGAUACCCCAGUAGUC